rfam:Pseudomonas sp. 1 R 17 genome assembly PSEFL294_LIB5394, contig: PSEFL294_LIB5394_000009
CUCGAUGGUGGCUGUGCGUAGGGCGCCCUCGGGCGCGCCGGUUUUGUUAGGUUCCACCGGUCUACUAACCUGCGUACAGCUACCGCCUUA